UGUGCACGUGCGUGCACACGUGUAUGUGGCUAAACAUGUCUGUGCACAUGUGUGUUGCUUCUCUGGCCAGGCCCGGCUGCCCCACUCAUGUGUGCACCCAGUUCCUCAUCACUGUCACCCCCGAGGCCCAGGGCCAGCAUCAGAGCGCCCAGGGCCAGCAUCAGAGCAUCCAUGGCUGCUCCCUAACCUCAGCCCUCCCUGCCCAGGGUGGUCCUGGGAUACACAUAGGGGUGGAGGGAAGUGACUGCUGCUGCUGCUGGAUCUCAGAAUACAAAAGCUAAUACUAUUACCUAAUGGUCUUUUUAGUGUCUCUAAUGGGCCUAGGGGAUGCCAAAUUCCAGGGUCCAGAAAGAGCUUGGGAUAAAAUGAAACUUCAAGGGGACGGCUUUGACCUGGGCUGAGUCUGCCUGUGCCGAGUCUGCCUGUGCCAUCCAACUGGAGUCUCAAGUCCUGAGGCAGGACGUCCAGAUGCCCCAGUGCAGGGUCCUCCUGAUCAACACCUGUCCCCCUGUACUCAUUAGCAACCUCACCCACCCUACUCUCAAAGCACACUUGGCUCUCAUAUCCAGGAGCUCUGCAUCUGUAGAUUCAGCAACAGCAGAUGGAAAAUAUUCAGAAAAUAAAUUGGAUGGUUAUAUUUCUAUUGAA